rnacentral:lncRNA from 1 species
AUUAAGGCUUGAUGAGCUAAAAUUCAGCAGUAUAAAGCAUUCAGACCUUUCCUACUAACUUAGCAUCACUACCUUUAUGCUUCCACUUCCACUUCCUCUACUUCAGCUUCUCAACCAGUCUGUAAUGAGAAAAAUACUAUGGAGUUACUGUAAUUACAGAAAUAAGAUCUGUCCUUUGAACCAUAUACAGGAGAGAACCACCAGAUUAGUUUGUAUGGGUGUGCCCCACCUCUAUGAUUGACAAUCUACUGGUGUUCCUGGUCUUUGCUAAUCUAAAAGGAUGUAAUUAUUAACCAGCAAAAACGCCACUCCUUCACAUGCAUCCCACGUGUAGUCCUCUGCAGAACUGCCACCAGUCACUGCUACUGUUGUUAGGACCAGACACAGAACAGCAUCAUUUAGCAAGCUGAGGAUCCUCAACACUGAUCUAGUGUGUGUAAUAGAAAACAGAAGUUCACAUGGAGGAGAAGGCUAUAUAUUGAGUAAAUUUCUAUGUUCUUGGUGUGCCUACUCUUAUACCAGUGGUGAAGAGCUGCACCCACAGCUUCAUCAGCAACUAUGGUUCCUCUCCUCUAACCUCUGUAUCUCAAGAUAUCUGAAUGUGGAACUGUUCAGUAGUGCUUCCUCCUUGGUUUCAUGAUGACAUCUAUUCUUUCCAAAGAUGUGAUAAUCCAUUGUCAAGAACAUAAAAGGCUCUCCUAUAAUAUUUUGUGUGCAAGGUGCCCCACACGAGAUUGUCUCAAGGCUUCAAAUACUAAUUGCACCACAAAAUAUUCCUUCUGGACUGUCAAAUGUGGAGGAAGUUGAAGGAAUAUGGAUGAAUUUCCUGUGGGAUCAGAAAGGUAGCGUACCACAUCCUUCAUUAUGGAACCCCUUUAGUUCUCUUCUUCUGUGUGAGAAUAAUAUAAACACCCUGUUCAGAUC